CCUACGGGGGGCAGCAGUGAGGAAUAUUGGUCAAUGGCCGAGAGGCUGAACCAGCCAAGUCGCGUGAGGGAAGACGGCCCUACGGGUUGUAAACCUCUUUUGUCGGGGAGCAAAGCGAGUCACGUGUGACUCAUUGAGAGUACCCGAAGAAAAAGCAUCGGCUAACUCCGUGCCAGCAGCCGCGGUAAUACGGAGGAUGCGAGCGUUAUCCGGAUUUAUUGGGUUUAAAGGGUGCGCAGGCGGAGGUGCAAGUCAGCGGUCAAAUUGCGGGGCGCAACCCCGUACUGCCGUUGAAACUGCAGCCCUUGAGUGCGCGAGAAGUAUGCGGAAUGCGUGGUGUAGCGGUGAAAUGCAUAGAUAUCACGCAGAACUCCGAUUGCGAAGGCAGCAUACCGGCGCGCAACUGACGCUCAUGCACGAAAGCGUGGGUAUCGAACAGGAUUAGAUACCCGUGUAGUC
rnacentral:rRNA from 1 species